CCUGCCACUAUGCUGGUCUGUGUGAGUGACUUGGUAUAAUCCAGUGGAGGCUAAAAUCAUGCUCAGCUCUAGGAAGCAGGGCUGCCCAAUCUAAUGGGCAUCUCUGUGCCGAAAGGUCUGAAACAAAU
rnacentral:snoRNA from 1 species